rnacentral:rRNA from 1 species
AMUAGCAUAUCAAUAAGCGGAGGAAAAGAAACCAACAGGGAUUGCCCUAGUAACGGCGAGUGAAGCGGCAACAGCUCAAAUUUGAAAUCUGGCGUCUUUGGCGUCCGAGUUGUAAUUUGCAGAGGGCGCUUUGGCAUUGGCAGCGGUCCAAGUUCCUUGGAACAGGACGUCACAGAGGGUGAGAAUCCCGUACGUGGUCGCUAGCCUUUACCGUGUAAAGCCCCUUCGACGAGUCGAGUUGUUUGGGAAUGCAGCUCUAAAUGGGAGGUAAAUUUCUUCUAAAGCUAAAUACUGGCCAGAGACCGAUAGCGCACAAGUAGAGUGAUCGAAAGAUGAAAAGCACUUUGGAAAGAGAGUUAAAAAGCACGUGAAAUUGUUGAAAGGGAAGCGCUUGCAGCCAGACUUGCCUGUAGUUGCUCAUCCGGGUUUUUACCCGGUGCACUCUUCUAUGGGCAGGCCAGCAUCAGUUUGGGCGGUUGGAUAAAGGUCUCUGUCACGUACCUCCUCUCGGGGAGAACUUAUAGGGGAGACGUAAUGCAACCAGCCUGGACUGAGGUCCGCGCAUCUGCUAGGAUGCUGGCGUAAUGGCUGUAAGCGGCCCGUCUUGAAACACGGACCAAGGAGUCUAACAUCUAUGCGAGUGUUUGGGUGUCAAGCCCGAGCGCGUAAUGAAAGUGAACGGAGGUGGGAACCUUUCGGGGUGCACCAUCGACCGAUCCUGAUGUCUUCGGAUGGAUUUGAGUAAGAGCAUAGCUGUUGGGACCCGAAAGAUGGUGAACUAUGCUUGAAUAGGGUGAAGCCAGAGGAAACUCUGGUGGAGGCUCGCAGCGGUUCUGACGUGCAAAUCGAUCGUCAAAUUUGGGCAUAGGGGCGAAAGAC